rnacentral:lncRNA from 1 species
ACCACCAGGCUCUUCUCUGCUCAACUGGAUUCUACCUUUGUUUACCACCAAGAAAUGCGUCUACGACAACUGAAUUCUAUCUUUCUCACCUUCAUUAGAACACUUUCUCCUUGGCAACAAAGACAUUUUCCCAGCCAAAUUCUACAAUUGAUAUUACUUCAAACACUUAAACGCACAACACAGGUCCAACAAAGAAGAAAACUAAAACAUUACAAACAAAAUCCAAAACCCACAACUAAACUUGCAUCUCUAGUCAAAUUCCAAAGGAAGCCAAAUACCUCCACAACAAAUAAAGGGAAAGCGGUUCCUGAAGCAAUCGUGUGGAGGCGGCAGCGAGGAGCGGGUCUAGAUCUCGCAGUGACGACGUCAAUGGAGUUACCGACGAGGACGAGGCGGAAAAGGAGGACACCAAGGGAGGAACGAAUCUCAGAUCUGGGAGGAGCUAAUCUCAGAUCUGGAAAAAAAAUCAGAAAAAUGAUAGAGAGAAACGGACUGGAUCUCACGACGGAUCUCGCUAUGGCGACGGGGAGAGGGGCUAGAUGAGGUCGGCGAAGCUUGACCAGGGAGGAGUGGUCAGAGACGACGAAGACGCAGCAGAAGGGAUGUGUUGCCGACAGCGAAUGAAGGUCGUCGGCGUGGCGGUGGGUGGUGCCGACGAAAUUUGAUCUGAAAAAGAAAAAAGAAAGUCCAGGCAACGCAAGAGAGACGAAAAGAGCAUAAAAAAUACUUUUAAUAAUUUUCAUUUCAUUUUUAAAAUAAAAAAAGUUUUUAUUUUUUUAUUUUUUGCUUCCGGUAAAUAACCUAUUAUCACAGGUCAUUUUACUUCCUCACCACAACAAAAAAAGAAAAAAGAUAUCAAGUACUUGAUUGCUUGAACGGAACACGUCCAUGGCUCAUGAAAUGAAACAAACCUAAUUAUCUAAAUUUCAAGGUUUGAAGUUUCAACUUUCAAACACCAGCUGGAUUUAGAUAAAGAUAUACACGCAACGCAACAAAUUUAAAAUCAGGGAAUUUCGAGGUUUCAAGUUCCAUUGGUUGGGCUAAAUAAUUACCAUCAUAUUUAGG